ACUACCUUUAAUCUUUAAAUUAAUGGUUAAAUGUUGUUGAUGGUCCAUUAUUAUGUGACAGUCAAAAAUAUCAUCCACAAAAACCCAUAUUUUACCAGAUAUAUUGGCCAUUGCAUACUCCAUGCCAAGUCUUCUUCUAUAUUCUUCUAUCUUGUCUGAGUCUUGAAAAGGUUCCAUUAAACCUAUGAAUCCAAAUUGGUGUUUUUGAUUAAGCUUUAUCAACCUUGUGAAGGCUUCCAUGGUGGUACACUUGUCUCUCUUGAUAUUUUUUUUCUCUCCUUCCCUCCUUUUUGAAUAUAUUUUGGUGAUAUAUCUCCUGCUCUCAAAGCUGCUUCAAGAUUGUGUUCUAAGGAUUAAGACUUCUACAUUCCUUCUCCUCAUGACCUUGGAGUCUACAGUGCUUGCAAUAUUUUGGUAGCUUGGUCUUGUCUUAUUUGCUGUGGCCAUAUCUACCGUCAGUGGUUUUCCAACUGCAGUUGCUAUGGAGAAGACUGCUUCUCUAACAAAAAAAUUUGGUGGUAGU